CGCUGGCGGCAUGCCUAACACAUGCAAGUCGAACGGGGGUAGCAAUACCCUAGUGGCGAACGGGUGAGUAACACAUAAGCAAUCUGCCCUUCACAGGGGGAUAACAGCGGGAAACUGCUGCUAAUACCGCAUAAGACCACGGUACCGCAUGGUACAGGGGUAAAAACGAAUCAGUGGUGAAGGAUGAGCUUAUGUCCCAUUAGCUAGUUGGUGAGAUAACAGCCCACCAAGGCGACGAUGGGUAGCCGACCUGAGAGGGUGAUCGGCCACACUGGAACUGAGACACGGUCCAGACUCCUACGGGAGGCAGCAGUGGGGAAUAUUGGGCAAUGGAGGAAACUCUUACCCAGCAAUGCCGCGUGAGUGAAGAAGGUCUUCGGAUUGUAAACCUCUGUCCUCAGGGACGAAGAGGGUGUGGGAGACACACCGAAGACGGUACCUGAGGAGGAAGCCCCGGCUAACUACGUGCCAGCCGCCGC
rnacentral:rRNA from 1 species